AGAGUUUGAUCCUGGCUCAGGACGAACGCUGGCGGCGUGCCUAAUACAUGCAAGUCGAACGAAACUUUCUUACACCGAAUGCUUGCAUUCACCGUAAGAAGUUGAGUGGCGGACGGGUGAGUAACACGUGGGUAACCUGCCUAAAAGAAGGGGAUAACACUUGGAAACAGGUGCUAAUACCGUAUAUCUCUAAGGAUCGCAUGAUACUUAGAUGAAAGAUGGUUCUGCUAUCGCUUUUAGAUGGACCCGCGGCGUAUUAACUAGUUGGUGGGGUAACGGCCUACCAAGGUAAUGAUACGUAGCCGAACUGAGAGGUUGAUCGGCCACAUUGGGACUGAGACACGGCCCAAACUCCUACGGGAGGCAGCAGUAGGGAAUCUUCCACAAUGGACGCAAGUCUGAUGGAGCAACGCCGCGUGAGUGAAGAAGGUCUUCGGAUCGUAAAACUCUGUUGUUAGAGAAGAACACGAGUGAGAGUAACUGUUCAUUCGAUGACGGUAUCUAACCAGCAAGUCACGGCUAACUACGUGCCAGCAGCCGCGGU
rnacentral:rRNA from 1 species